UAAGAAGAACAGCAGGAAAGGAGGAGAGAGCAGAACUGUGAGAAAAAUGAUCCUGGGUAACUAAGUAGGUUAUCAUGGUUAUGUGUGUAUGUGUGGUAGAUUCUAUUGAGAUAAGUCUCCAUAAUGUUAAUGUUGAGACAUUGUGGUGUUUACCAGGUGUUCCAGAUUUGUUGUAAUACCAUUCAGUAUUCCAGUCUGUGCCAGUCAGCUAUUGCUCCAGAUAAAUGGCACAUGGGGGAACUCCACAGAUGCUCACUUGCUCUGAGAUGAAGAGUGAAAUGGGAGCUUUCUAUGAGGGUCAUGGAGGCAUUUCCUUGGCACUAUGGUGACUGAGUCCUCUGCUGGGUGACUACAGCUCCCAGUACAUAGGUGGUGGUGUAGCUGCAGUAAUGAAAGCUCUAAAAUUUCUUCCCAGUUUAGACAAAGGAAGUAAAAAUAUAAGGUGUUUAUUUAAUCUUCCCAAUGCCACUCGAAAGUCUGGAACUAGGUGCUUGAAUCCUUUAUUGAUUCUGAAGCAGAAGUGAACUUGCCACACUGAUGUGCAGACAGCUGCAGGACAUCUCAGAAUGAACUUGCUGGAUCAAGGAGGGAUUUCGCUGAAAUUGAGAUCUGGGGGAUUUUUUGAGAUGCUCUAAGGUGCGACUGCUGGUCUCUGUCAGCAUCAGGAAGGUGGUUAUGAGAGCCAGCACUUCCUUUCUCAUCUUCCUCCAGAGAAGGCUUCCUCCUGGGUCUGGGCAUGGGCCCCUGCCGCUGUAUUGCUGAUCACACUCUUAAGCAGCUCAGGGCACUCCAUUCAACAGCUCUGUCUCCUAAGGUGAGAAGGACAAAAUCGGGUGGACAGAUUUAUGGAAAAUAGAAGAAGAAAAUAGAGGUGCCAGUGGUACUGGAAUGAAGGUCCAGCCUUUCCAGAAUACCAUAUUUUCAUCUCUGACCAUCCAAACUUUCCUACGUGGGCAGUUUCCUUCUGCCACCUGCUCAAUAUCCUAAUUUGUUUUCAGACGCUGAUUCCAUCUGGUUAUCGCUUACAGUUCUUUUUCCUGCACUGUAAACUCUUUAGCUGGACUCUAUGCACAUUCCCACACAACCACCUUUCAGCCAAUUAAGAAUUGUAGCAUUCAUUGCAGUUAAAAUGUUUCCUGAUUCAUAGUAUCAUAGAGUCUUUUGAGUUAGAAGGGACUCUUACAGGCCAUCUGGUCCAACUCCCCUGCAAUGAAAAGUGACACCUACAGCUCAAUCAGGUUGCUUAGAGCCCUGUCCAGCCUGAUCUUGGAUGUCUCGAGGGACGAGGCAUCCAUCACCCCUCUGGGCACGUUCCAGUGCCUCACCACACUUAUUGUAUAGAACUUCUUCCUUAUACCCAUCCAAAUCUUCCCUCUUUUAGUUUGAAAUCAUUCCCCUUUGUCCUAUCAUUCACUGGAUCACAAAGGAACAGUAAACAGUGU
rnacentral:lncRNA from 7 species